rnacentral:tRNA from 29 species
GCGAUGGUGGCGGAAUUGGUAGACGCGCUAGCUUCAGGUGUUAGUGUCCUUUGGAUGUGAGGGUUCGAGUCCCUCCCUUCGCACCA